rnacentral:pre_miRNA from 1 species
CGUGCACCAGCGGGGUCCCUCAGCCUGGCCUGUGGGAUUGGGCUGAAACCAGCUCUUCGACAUCCCCCAAAGGGUCCUGGAUUGCAAAAGGGCACAGGCCAGGCCGAGGGACCCCACUGGUGCACA